rnacentral:misc_RNA from 1 species
UGUGUGUGUGUGUGUGUGUCUGUUUUUUCUUUCUUCAUUAGUCACUACUUUGCUAUAUUCCUAUUGUACAUGGAUUGCAACCUCUCUUUGGUGCUUUUUAAGGUUCUUUUUUUUUUUAUUUAUUCAAAUUCAAAUUUGCUGUAUUGUUAUAGUCUGUUGAAGCAGUUGUAUGGACUUUCUGCUUUACCACUUGCUAAACCUAGAGAUUCAUAUUCACUUUUAGUUGUGUGCUUGACAUAUUGUCUGGUAGUUGAGAAUAACUGUUCAUUUGAAUACCAGAAGUGAAGAGAUCCUUGUACCUGAUUAAUUUUGUAGAACAUUAAAUGUUAUCGUCUUUUCUUUAUUAUUUUUUAUUUUUAUGUGGAGGCUGGUUUGGUUUUAACUGUUGUUAACCAGAUAGAGAUCUUUUGCUUUUGCCUUUGCCCUUUCUCAGGUUACCCCUCGUCUGGAAGAGC